rnacentral:rRNA from 1 species
UACGUAGGGUGCAAGCGUUUAAUCGGAAUUACUGGGCGUAAAGCGUGCGCAGGCGGUUAUGUAAGACAGAUGUGAAAUGCCCGGGCUUAACCUGGGAACUGCAUUGUGACUGCAUGGCUAGAGUUGGCAGAGGGGGUAGAAUCCACGUGUAGCAGUGAAAUGCGUAGAUAUGUGGAGGAACACCGAUGGGCGAAGGCAGCCCCCUGGGUCAAGAC